rnacentral:tRNA from 1 species
GCCUGAGUGGCUCAGUCAGUUGUGCGUCUGACUCCAGCUCAGGUCAUGAUUUCUCAGUUCGUGGGUUCGAGCCCCACAUCGGGCU